UAGAAUGGAGGGCAACCAGGUCAAAUUCCAUAUGGUCCACCUCCUCCUCACGGUCCAUACGAUUAUUAGAAAAAAUAACCAAAGCUUAUACUGGAAUGAAGGAAAAUUGUUUAAAAUUAUCAAAUUGUUGUG